rnacentral:lncRNA from 1 species
GGAAGUUUCCAUAGAGACUUGGAAAUCUGGAGACAUAUGAAACCACCUCUGUUUCAUUGCUGACUAGACUCAAGAAGUCUGAACUGCAGCACUGAGAGGCCUGGCAGCACAGGCAGUGGAAAGCCUUCAAGUAGCAAACUCUGAUCAUUAGGCUGAGGCUUAAGCCAUAGGACUUUUAGGGGAAAAGAAGUUUGGUCUUGGAUCUUUGAAGCACUUGGUGCUGUCAUAAAAUCAACAGAAAAUUAGCCAUCAUAAUUUUCUCAACAGUGGAAUAAAAUCUCUCUUGAAAAGGAAAAAUUAAAAAUAACACUUGGCCAGAGGAGAGGGAAAAAUAGUGAAUGCUUGGACAACUGGAUCAUUCAUUUCACCCAGAUUAAGAUGUCCUAAACUGUCAGCUGCAGCCCAUUCAAGAAAGGUGCAGAUCUUCUCUAGAUUUUGUAUC